rnacentral:rRNA from 1 species
GAUGAACGCUGGCGGCGUGCCUAACACAUGCAAGUCGAACGAAGCAAUUUAACGGAAGUUUUCGGAUGGAAGUUGAAUUGACUGAGUGGCGGACGGGUGAGUAACGCGUGGGUAACCUGCCUUGUACUGGGGGACAACAGUUAGAAAUGACUGCUAAUACCGCAUAAGCGCACAGUACCGCAUGGUACGGUGUGAAAAACUCCGGUAGGUAUGAGAUGGACCCGCGUCUGAUUAGCUAGUUGGUGGGGUAACGGCCUACCAAGGCGACGAUCAGUAGCCGACCUGAGAGGGUGACCGGCCACAUUGGGACUGAGACACGGCCCAA